CCACAGCCAUCCUUAGCUGGAGAGUAACUCCAAAUGGUUCUGAACAACAUUAAUUGCAAAAUGAACACCUUAAAGAGUUCUGCACUACAAUCUUAACAGAGCACUCGCAAAUCUUAAAAACCAACGAUUCAUCAUCUGCUGGUUCAGUUACCACCUUCAACAUGUGGCAUAUCAAUCCUUACAUGCAAAUAUAGUAUAGCUAAGCACAGAGUGAUCACAAGCACUUCCACGCCAGCUGACUAGGAUGUAAUCUAGCUUGCCAUGUCUUGCUCAAAAUACAGGUUAAGCUCAAUGUGGCAAACACUGGGCUUAGAAUCACUACCACACCACAAAAUGAGAUGGUAGCUAACAUUCCCCUCCAAUGUCUAAUGUACACAACGUGUUUCAUAAUCAAUCUCGCAGACACCGGAUCUAAAAUACUACAUCCGUAUAACUCAUACCUCAGAAAGAGCACUUCAAGCAUGAAAUCUGGCAGCUCAACCCUGUCCCCCUCAUCAAAAUCACCUCAUACACUAUGGACCUCGUACAUUGGCACCGGCAGCAUCAUCUACAAAAUGUAUCAACCAUUCACUUGGUUAUCAGUUGAACAAUGACAUGUCUUUUCAAAUUGUCUUUGCAUAAAAUAAUUUUGUCUACUGAAGCUUGUAGCCGAGCACUUCAUAGCUCAUAAUCAUAUUCAUAAGUUCGUAGUCCAGGCUAUACGAGCUAUACAUCAGUGCCAGUUGUAAAACCCCGGAUCGCUAGUGUAAACUUUGAUUUGUACAAAAGACAGUAAGACAUUUCUUGGUCAAUCACCACAAACCGCAAGUCAAAGACGUGGUGCCACCUGAUCUGUCAACUAUCAAACAUCCGACCUUCCUUGUAAUGAUCAGCCGCGACACACGAAUCCACUGUCAACAGCCCGUUUGGUCCGAACUCCCUCACGAAGUCUUCUCCUGAUAGGACCACAAGAUUAUUAUUUUUUAGAUCAGAGCGCCACUAGGACCACAAGAUAUAGACCUAUAUGCUCGAACCACUUCUUGCGCGUGUCGAUGGUAGACACACAAGUUAACAAUUGCAAACGCUGUACUAACAACACUCAAACUUAACUUACUUGCUAAGUUCUCUGGAAGUGUAUGACAACAUCCUGUCAUAGAAAGUAGCAUGUCUCUUGUGUUUGGCUCUUCAUCCUUCAAACCAGCUUUUCCUCAGAACUUAUCACCCAUCUCACCCUUCACGAUGUCCUGACCAUGCCUAUCUGCAACCUUAGGUUACUCCUCAUCCAGCCUGACACCACGCACAAUCCCCUACCCACUUCAUCCUCAUGCUCAUGGAUGUCGGCAAAGAACUAUGUUAACUGAAUGCAAAGAUAACUCAAUUUUUAGAACAAAGCGAAAUGACAGAUGAUAACCUGAUUGUCUAGCAACAUCAUUGCGGUCAUAUUGCAUCAAGGCUUCAGGCACAUCGCAAGGUGUCCCAUCCCCUGCAAAUUCAAAAUGUUGCAGCAAAAUUUCAAUGAUCUCACAACACUCGGUCAGUCCAUCUGAAUGAUCUCACAACCUGUCACUGCAUUGUUGACACAACAACUCUUUUUCUGCCCCCUCGUACCCCUCCCAGAGCCAGCAUCAGCACCUGAUUUGCACAUAAUAUAUUUAAUAUCCCAGAGACGUAAGCGGGCCUCCAACACAUGGAAAUGACCUGGGUACAUUAUUAGUGCCAAUACCUCCACUAGUAUGAUUACUACCACGGGUUACUUGCCUCAAACUCUCUCCUGCUUCUCUAACUGUGGAUUAUCUCGCCAAAUUCAGUGAAAGCGAAUGAUUAUGACUCUCUCUAUGCUUAAUGUACUCCCUUUGUAAAGAAAUAAUAUAUUUCUUUACAGAGGAGUAUCAAACAUUGUCCUCUGCUUGUAAAAGUCUUUAUCAGAGCCAGACAUUCGCAAUGGCAAGACCUUCUGCUCUGAACACCAGCUUUACCCUACAAUAUGUUUUCAAUUCUUGAGAAUGCAGGAAAUAACAAGAACUGAGGACACGGCUAAAAUAUACCGGAGUAAUUGCCAACUGUACAAAGCAAAAUGUCUAAAUCAUACACCUUGCCAAGUGAGUCGAAAGUACUGCCAAGAACUGGAGCGGUCACACUAUCAGCUGGCUUUUCUAUAAAAACACCUGACAGCCUUCUCGAAGUCACUAAUGCGAGAUGGGCAGUGUCCUGCUGGGUGCGGCAGCACCAAUUCUCAGCCAGCAAACACAAACACACCUGUCAUGAAUUAUCUAAAUACUGUUGACACACGGCAAGCAUAGCAAUUCGCCAUCGCUGUAUGAUUCGCUCAUCCAUGUAAACCUAAAAUUCAAAAAUUCCACCAUUCUUGAUGGAAUCAGUGAGCUUUCUCCUCACCUUUUAUUUCAGCCGGGGCCUGGGGAUUCAUCUUCCCCGUGGAGAGCCUGGUGGUCGAAGGCAACUAGGCGAGUUAUCCCUUUUGUUCGCCACCACCGCAGCAGGCCCGAAGAUCCUGCCGUGGGAUGCUGCUGCGGCACCUCCACCUGAUUCGGCAGUCCCAUUUGCAGCAAAUCGCAUGGCACCAAACUUUCCCUACUUUCUGAAUAAUAUUGGAUCUGGCAUAUGAAAAACUCAACCUUCAACUACCAAGCAUCUAGCCUAAAAAUCGAUUCCAGACCGUCGGAUAGCUACGGAUCCACAUACCUGCCGAUUCCGAUCCGCAGUUCAGCUGCCCGGUCUCGUUGCCACUGCAGACGCUAAUGGCAGGAUUUUAUCCUUACAAACUUUGUUCUUACCUAUAGAACUACGUUUCUUUGCUAACCAUAAGAUCAAAUCCAGCACUAACCUACUCCAUCCAAGCGCUCGGGGAUUCAUCUUCCAGUUGACAGCUCCGAGGUCGGUGGCAAGUUGUCCCUCAUGUCAGCCGACGCUCCCUUGGCUGCCAAGAUCUGGGCGUCCACGCUGCCCAUCGGAGCCUCCUGCGCCGCCACCACCUGUUCCACCACCACCUGAUGCUCCACCACCGUAGCCACCACAGUCGGCUCCGCCGGUACUGGUGGCGGCACCAAACUCACUCCCACCACCUCUAGGAAAGUGGAUCUGAUCCAGGCCAAACCAAAUCUUUUCAAAGCACACAUCUGGUCGCUAAUAAACCGCAAGGACAGCGGGGGGAAGAAGUACCCGCGUAUAGGCUGCAUCAGAAACUCCAUGGGGUCGUCGCCGCCGCCAGCCUCGAGCUCUGAAGUGAGGUCAGGAAGGAACCAGAUCACCCGCACAAUUUCCGCCUGGGCCCAUCGAACGGAAAGCCAACUUCCUGGUCCACGGAUCAGACGAGAACGCCGAAACUGAUCCACGGCCCACCUCGUCAGCGACAAACGGACAUCGCACCGCGCGUUAAAAUAAGGCCAAGCACCAGCCCCUGUCCCACUAGUAUUCAACUACAGUGUCCAUUAUCUAGCACACCGCCAGCGGGCGUAUAAAGUAAUGGCGCAGUUCCAGAUGCUCUAUUCAACGCCCAAGAUAGCGAGCUCAUUUGAGCCCGCGUGCAGUUACUCCACGCUCAGGCUAGCUACAUUACUUGUGCGGUGCAUACCUACCGCGGGCCACCUCAGGUUGAGCAGAAAAGUCCAACACAUGCGCACUCGGGUGCUUGGCAUAUGCAGAGCCAGAGGACGCCGGGAUUGACGAUGACGAAUCAUGCAUACCCAGUCGUUGAAGAGGACUAUUCAGACUUAUCACCAACAGAAGUGUGCAGAGGCUAUUCUACUUUCUGGCUUGAUAUUCAGAAAGGGACUGUCUAGGUCUCAGUUGACUGAGACUUGGCGAAGUCUCAGUCGGCUGACGUCACCCCAGAUUAGGCCUGUUUAGCAUCCCUCCCAUGAUGGGCUUGUGGUGUGGGCUUUGCUUGUUUGUUUGUUUUUUGUUUUUGCUGUUUGCUUGGCCCGUUGUACCUAUAUCCCUGCCUACGGACGCAGCAAACACACAAUAGAAAAGCUAAACGACUGGAAAACUUUUGCUUCUCUCCCAGUUGUCUCUGAGAUAACUCCAUGGCAGAAAACUCCAACUUUGUCUCAGCGUGUUGUUUAAGUUUCUCUGAAGAAAAAAAAGUGAAGAAAGAAAACUGUAGUAUAUUAGAAGCAUGAGUUUCAGUAGUUGAUGACAAAAAAGAUAAUAAUUUUCAUGCUGGUGCUAAUUUUUGUAUGUCCAGCACACAUACUGUUCAGGACACGUACUGAACAUGUAGUACACUUGUUGUGGACAGAGAAAAGGUUGUACACUUGUUGUGGGCAGGGAAAAGGUUGAAAUUUUUUGUUGUUCUUGACACUUUCUGAAUAUGAUAAACUAAUGAACAUGGUUCUUGGCAUGAGACAAAAACAAGAAAAAUAUGUCAUGGAUUCAGAUUGCACAUACUGUCUUCUGCAUUUCGUGUAGCAGCCGGUGAAUACUUUGGCAUAGAGAUUUCCAAGCAGUCAUGCUCCAUCUCCACAUAAUUUGGUGACCCCAGUCCAAGUAAGAUAAAAUAUGCGAAAACAAAAAUUCCCUUAGAUUGUAAAUACAUAUGUUUGAGCUGUGUCACCAUCCCAGAAACUGACAUAAGCAUGAUUUUGUGUUUCCAUGGUAGCCGUACCUUGGUGUCCAGUAUGUGCAGCAACAACAGCCUGCGAUGAAUUUGGCAUUCCAACCAUCUCCAAGUGCAUUUGCACCACAUGUACGAGCUUUUCUUGAAAAAAAAUAUUUCUUGUGCCCUCUUUAAGUUCCCUGCUUCAUGAAUGACCUGCCGCUCUACUAUCAUGCCCUUGUAAUUCUGUGAAAAAAAAGAUUGAAAAAGAAAGAAACUUAUACUGUUAUGAAAAAUGCAGGGGAUGAAUUUCCUUGGAGGUGGUAACAUGACCUACACAUAGUUGUUGUUUUGCUGCUGACCAAGAGGUACUAUAAAGUGCUUUUCUUUUGUUGACUUUCACAUGCAUAGUUGAAAAUAGUAAACUACAUAACAUGUUUGUGGUCACAGGCUGGUAUUGGUGGAUGUCAACAUUUUGUUCAACAACAAGAUUCUAGUGGCAGGGGGUUUUGUUCAUUAACAUGCAAGUGGGCCCCAUGUCUUUCGACGCCGCCCCCUCCGACAAAACAGAGGCCCCACUAGUUACGAUAAAACUAGAAGACAUGAAGUUGCGUGCCCAUUGUGGUACAUGCAACUGGCGCCUGUCCCCGUACAACAAGAAAUGGAAGUCGAGUUGCGACCAAGUUAUAAGGCAUGCAGUUGCGACCAAGUUAGAAGACAUGCAGUUGCGUGUCUAGUGUGGGACCUACAACUGGGCCGCCCCCUCCGACAAAACAAAGGCCCCUCUAGUUGUGACCAAGCUAGAAGACAUGCAGUUGCGUGCCCAUUGUGGGACAUGCAACUGGUGCCUCUCAUACAAACAAGAAAUGGAAGUCGAGUCGCAACCAAGUUAUAAGGCAUGCAGUUGCGACCAAGUUAGAAAGACAUGCAGUUGCGUGCCUAGUGUGGAACAUGCAACUCGGCCCCAUGUCUCUCGAUGCCGCCCCCUUCGACAAAAUAAAGAUCCCCCUAGUAGCGAACAAACUAGAAGACAUGAAGUUGUGUGCCUAGUGUGGGGCAUACAGCUGGGCCCCUCUUUCUCGGUGCUGCCCCAUCCGACCAAACAAGAGGUCCCCCCUCCCCCCGAGUUGCGACCAAGUCAGAAGACAUGCAAUUGCAUGCCUAGUGUGGGAUGCAACUGGGUCCCAUGUCUCUCGACGUGGUCUCCUCUGACAAAACAAAUACCCCCCUAGUUGCGACCAAACUAGAAGACAUGCAGUUGCAAGCCCAUUGUGGGACAUGCAACUGGUGCCUCUUUCUCGUACAACAAGAAAUGGAAGUCGAGUUUCAACCAAGUUACAACGCAUGCAAUUGCGACCAAGUUAGAAGACAUGCAGUUGCGUGCCUAGUGUGGGACAUGCAACUCGGCCACCUCUCCCUAGUUGUCGCACCCUCCGACAAAACAGAGGCCCCAAUAGUUGCGACCAAACUAGAAGACAUGCAGUUGAGUGCCCAUUGUGGGACAUGCCACUGGCGCCUCUCCCCGUACAAACAAGAAAUGGAAGUCGAGUUGCAACCAAGUUAUAACACCUGCAGUUGCGACCAAACCAGAAGACAUGCAGUUGUGUGCCUAGUGUGGGACAUGCAACUAAGCCACCUAUCUCCCCUCGUUGUCGCCCCCUCCGACAAAACAAAGGCCCUCCCAGUUGCAACCAAGCUAGAAGAGAUGCAGUUGCGUGCCCAUUGUGGGACAUGCAACUGGCGCCUGUCCUCGUGAAACAAGAAAUGGAAGUCGAGUUGGCAUGCAGUUGCGACCAAGUUAGAAGACAUGCAGUUGUGUGCUUAGUGUGGGACAUGCAACUGGGCCACCUCUCUCCCUCGUUGUCGGCCUCUCCGACAAAAUAAAGGCCCCUCCAGUUGCGACCAAGCUAGAAGACAUGCAGUUGCGUACCCAUUGUGGGGCAUGCAACUAGUGCCUCUCCCCGUACAAAAAGAAAUGGAAGUUGAGUUGCAACCAAGUUGUAACACAUGCAGUUGCGACCAAACCAGAAGACAUGCAGUUGCGUGCCUAGUGUGGGACAUGCAACUGGGCCACCUCUCUUCCUCUUUGUCGCCCCUCUGACAAAAGAAAGCCCCCUCCAUUUGCGACCAAGCUAGAAGACAUGCAGUUGCGUGCCCAUUAUGGGACAUGCAACUGGCGCCUGUCCCCGUACAACAAGAAAUCGAAGUCGAGUUGGCAUGUAGUUGUGACCAAAUUAGAAGAAAUGCAAUUGCAGCCUAAUGUGGGACAUGCAACUGGACCCCAUCUCUCUCAACAUCGCCCCCUCUGACAAACAUAAAGAUACCCCGUAGUUGCAACCAAACUAGCAGACAUGCAGCUGCGUACCUAGUGUGGGGCAUGCAAUUGGCGCCUAUCCCUAGACAACAAAAACGGAAGUAGAGUUGCAACCAAGUUAUAAGACAUGCAAUUGCGACCAAGCUAGAAGACAUGGAGUUAUAAAGACAUGCAGUUGCAUGCCUACCGUGGGACAUGCAACUGGGCCCCUCUCUCUCGAUGCCGCCCUCUUCGACAAAACAAAGACCACCCCCCCCCCCCGCGGUAGUUGCNNNNNNNNNNNNNNNNNNNNNNNNNNNNNNNNNNNNNNNNNNNNNNNNNNNNNNNNNNNNNNNNNNNNNNNNNNNNNNNNNNNNNNNNNNNNNNNNNNNNNNNNNNNNNNNNNNNNNNNNNNNNNNNNNNNNNNNNNNNNNNNNNNNNNNNNNNNNNNNNNNNNNNNNNNNNNNNNNNNNNNNNNNNNNNNNNNNNNNNNNNNNNNNNNNNNNNNNNNNNNNNNNNNNNNNNNNNNNNNNNNNNNNNNNNNNNNNNNNNNNNNNNNNNNNNNNNNNNNNNNNNNNNNNNNNNNNNNNNNNNNNNNNNNNNNNNNNNNNNNNNNNNNNNNNNNNNNNNNNNNNNNNNNNNNNNNNNNNNNNNNNNNNNNNNNNNNNNNNNNNNNNNNNNNNNNNNNNNNNNNNNNNNNNNNNNNNNNNNNNNNNNNNNNNNNNNNNNNNNNNNNNNNNNNNNNNNNNNNNNNNNNNNNNNNNNNNNNNNNNNNNNNNNNNNNNNNNNNNNNNNNNNNNNNNNNNNNNNNNNNNNNNNNNNNNNNNNNNNNNNNNNNNNNNNNNNNNNNNNNNNNNNNNNNNNNNNNNNNNNNNNNNNNNNNNNNNNNNNNNNNNNNNNNNNNNNNNNNNNNNNNNNNNNNNNNNNNNNNNNNNNNNNNNNNNNNNNNNNNNNNNNNNNNNNNNNNNNNNNNNNNNNNNNNNNNNNNNNNNNNNNNNNNNNNNNNNNNNNNNNNNNNNNNNNNNNNNNNNNNNNNNNNNNNNNNNNNNNNNNNNNNNNNNNNNNNNNNNNNNNNNNNNNNNNNNNNNNNNNNNNNNNNNNNNNNNNNNNNNNNNNNNNNNNNNNNNNNNNNNNNNNNNNNNNNNNNNNNNNNNNNNNNNNNNNNNNNNNNNNNNNNNNNNNNNNNNNNNNNNNNNNNNNNNNNNNNNNNNNNNNNNNNCUACCUGUUGUGCGACAUGCAACUAGCACCCUCUCUCUCGACGCCGCCCCCUCCGACAAAACAAAGGUCCCCCAGUUGCGACCAAGGUAGAAGACAUGCAAUUGCAUGCCUAGUGGGCCCCUGUCUCUCUCGACGCCACCCCCUCCGACAAAACAAAGGUCCCCCUAGUUGGGACCAAGGUAGAAGACAUACAGUUGCGUGCCCAUUGUGGGACGUGCAAAAACUAAUGCCUCUCCCUGUACAACAAAAUUAGAAGUUGAGUUGCAACCAAGUUAUAAACACACACACAUCAUACUACGAGAAAAGAGGAUAGUGUAGUGGAUGCAAACAAAAAGACUAAAGAAAAAAGAAGAAAAAAAGGCUUGUAAUUUGUCGUGGAAUUAUCAUGUCAGAUGUCCUCGUGAAAGGACUUAGUCGUGGAGCCAUCGUGACGGGUUAGCUUAGAGAGGUUAAACCGGACAAAGGACACGAGAGUUUUAUACUAGUUCGGCCCCUUACAAUGAAGGUAAAAGCCUACGUCUAGUUGUGAUGGAAUUACUGGGGUUUCGAUUGCCAGGGAGCAAACACGCUAUGCCUGGCUCUCGAGUUGUUGUUUCUUGUCCCUGAACCGCCGUCGGGUCGUCCCUAUAUAUGCACAGGUUGACGCCCGGCCAGUUUACAGAGUCCCGAGACCGGCUCAUACAAGUGUCCGGCUCGGUCUCUCCCUCCCUAACUUACAACACAAGUUUAUAUAACUAUGGCGGUUUACCACUAUGGGCCCUAAUCCGCCUUUGGGCUCUGGGCCUCUAAGUUUUAUCAGUAAAGCACCAUCUUCUUUGUCUUCAUGGGCUUCAGUAUGGUUGAGCGUGAACCGGCCCCUCCUAGGCGGUUUACACUCAAUAGUUAUAUCCCCAACAUUAGGCCCCAGGUUGAUUUGAACCAGUUCAUGUCAAUCUUCAAUACUUAGAAAAUUUUUGUGAACAUCUUCUUAUGGUUCUCGUAAACCGCCAUGAUGUCUUCUCCCUGCAAACUUUGGUAAACUGCCAUGACGUCAUCUUCUGAAAUUGCAGUAAAUCGUCAUGACGUCAUCUCUGUAUAAAAAGAUUAUAAAGAUUCCCUUCAUUAAUUAUCUUUCGAAGAUCGAGGCGACAGCUGCGCCCCAUUUUACCGCUUCAGCUCAUCGAUUCUCGCGCUCGCCUACUUUAUCCAUUCGCCUUAUAAAUAGGCUCCGGGGUCCUUUACUUUUCCCCUUCCGCGCUUCUUCUUCUUCCUCUCACCGCUCAAGCUCGACAGCUCCGCCGCCGCCGUCGACCUUGAAGCUCAGCCUCAUCCCCGGCCGCUGCAUCAACCUGAACGCACCAAAGAUCCGCGGCUCUCCUCCGCCACUCCUGUGAAUCCAGUAAGCUUUCUUCUCCCUCAACCCUAGAUCUGCAUUAAGGUUUCGAUACUCGGCUGUGUCCGUCAGUGUUCGUCUGUGCUCUUUACUUUGCCCUUGCUACCUUAUUGCAUCUAGAUCAAACUUGACAUGUUUCUUCUGUGGCCGAAGUUUUUAGUUUAUUUCGCCUCCGCAUAGUAUCUUUUAAGAUCACGAACAAAUCUCAUCUUGCUCCUUGUUGUUCCGCUGUCGCCAUUGUUAGGGCUCAGAAAAAUUUCUUUGACUGAACCACGGUAGAUCCAAAAUUAUAUUACCAUCUUGUGAAAACUGUUUCUGCAACACUUAAUAGAUUUGAGAUCUGCUUCCUCCGUUAUGGGCGGUUUAACCUUUAUAAUUUUGAUAAUCCGGCAGGUACCAUUAGUCCUCACUUAAACCGCCAAUAUUACCUGAAUAUGAGUAACCGGCUUAAUAUGCAUACAUUCUUCAAUGAAAUCUCCCGGUUUGGUACCAGUUUACAUAUCUUAAUCUUGAACCGUAAACCGUCAUGCGAACUUCCUUUACAGUUUGUCAGCAACAAAUGGCCAAACAAUUUUCUUCUUGCAAUUGGGUUCCUUCCCGGAUCAAAGAAGAACAGCUUACUGGGUAUGUUCUGACUGGCGCUUUAGCCAAGAAGGAUGUCAUUCAUUGGCGAGUUCCUGGUCCGGAAUGUCCUCCUGAACCUCAAGAUGGAGAAGUGGUUGUGUUCAUGCAGCAUCUAGACCGAGGUUUUAGUCCUCCCAGAUCAAAGUUUUUCCGGGAUGUACUUGCUAGUUUCCAGCUCCACCCUCAAGAUAUUGGGCCAAACUCUGUGUCCAAUAUUUGAAAAUUUCCAAGUGUUCUGUGAAGUUUAUCUGCAAGAAGAACCGUCCGUUGAACUUUUCAGAGAUCUCUUCCACUUAAAUCGUCGUACAGAAUUCACUAAUGGCCCCAGUACCGAGCUUGGCGGGGUGUCGAUUCAAAAGAGGAAAGAAGUAGAUUUUCCUCAUGCCAAACAUCACAGCCACCCCAAAGACUGGAAUCAAACAUGGUUCUAUUGCCGGAACACCGCUCCUGGUGAUAAAAAUCCUCUGCCGGGUUACCGCCCUCACCAACUCAGCAAUGGACAUCCACUACCUCAGCGGCUUACUGCCAAGGAACGACAAACUUAUGCACCACAGCUUGCUAAGCUCCGGGCUCUUCUAGCAAAUGGUUUGACUCGCAUUGAUCUUGUCCGUUGCUGGGUCUCCUGGGGUAUUCUGCCCUUAAGCCGCCGCCCCAGCUUAAUGCAUGAAUAUACCGAAAAUGUCAACGAUCCUCAAUGGCACACUAACAUACCAAUGACUGACGAGGAAGUCACUGAGUCUGUAAAGAGAUGCUGGAUGAACCGAUCUCGGAAUGUUGCAAGACCGGACAGGCCCCCUUUCAUGCCUCCAACAAACCGCCAGCCGUAAGAAAUUAUCCUUCUGUUUUUGUAAUCCGUCUACUCUUUAACUUUUUCCUGACAACCUUUUGUUUAUCUUUACAGGCCAGAGACCCAUUCUGGAAGAGAAAAACUCAAGACAAACCGGCCAAGGCUCAAGACAAACUGGCAAGGGCCCUUCGUGCCAAGAGCAAGGUCACAAAGAGGCCAGCCAAGAAGAAAACCACAGAGUCCUCUGAUCCGCCCGAAGAUGUCGAUGAUUCGGAACAAGAGGUAGAACUUGACUCCCUUGGUUCAUUUUUCGUACACCUUAUUGACAAUGACUAUUACCAGGAUAAUGCGAAAGCCAGCCGUGCUGAUCAUGUAGAGGUAAUCUCCCUUUCCUCCGAUUCAGAUCAUGUGUCGGUUCAAAAACUUUGUAAAACACUCACAUCCUCUUGCUCAUUUGGAUCCACAAUUUUCUUUGAAGACACAGCAACAUGAAGGUCGUCGCACAACCCGGCAUAGUGGCCAACAGGUCACCUCCUCCGAUUUACCAGACACACCAACCCGGAAGCGUCGUCCAGAGGUUUCUUGUUCUUCCAAUAAAUCUUAUCCUUUGGCGGGUUGCUUCCGUUAUCCGCUUAAUCCGUCUGAUUCGAAUUAUCAGGUAAUGUCCAACUCAUCUUCUGGCGACUCAUCAACCACACAGACGCGUCCUCUCAAAAUUGUCCCUGGGUGAGUGAUAUUUUUGGCUGAAACUUCUUGCACCUGGUAUAUCAUACUAACCUUUGUUUGAUAUUUUGCAACGCCAAAGGCCGGCUCAGCAAGAAGGCAAGAACAGAUGCUUCUGCAGAGGAUGUUGAACCGUAGAAGAUCCUAGAAGGUGCUGAUGGAGAUGCUGACAUUGCUGUGGAUGAUCUUGUACCCCGAGAUCAAGAUACUUAUGUUGAUCCGCCGGAAGUUAACCCGGCCAGUCCUCAUGCAGAUCCGCCCAGCCCAAUUGCUAAUCCUCCAAGUCCUGCUGCUGAUCUGCCAAGCCCGCCAAAACCUCAGACAAACCGACUAGUCCAAGCAAAGCAACUGAUGAUGUUCUGAUCACCGGAUUUGGCCAUACUUGACCUGGCCGCCCUGUUGCUUUGUCAAAACACAGUGCCAAAGAGGAAUUUGCUGCUGUGGACAAAGGUAAAUGGAAGACUGAUCUGUCAAGCUAUGCUCAUCUCAACGCUCAAGAUCUUCACUCUGGAUACCUGAACCGCCUAUAUACAAGCCGUGAUUGUGAGGCCGAUUUAGUGAACUUGAUGAAGGAGCGAUAUGAGGUAAUUUCUGCAAAUCUUGCUUUGUACUUUUGUCAAUCUCAUUGUAGCCCCCAAGGGCCGGUUUAUCUCUUGAAGAUGGACCGGAACUUUAGAUAAAAAGGACUUCAACUGUGUAGUCACCAAGGACCGGUUUACCUCUUCAAGAUGAACCGGGACUUUCUGUUAAACAUUUUGUCCUUAUUGACUUUCUUCACCUUUGAUUUGACUGAUCAAUUAGGCAUUAGCCCCCAAGUGCCAAGCUUAAUACUUGUAUUGAGGCUUGGGACUUUAAAAUAUCCGUUUUAAGAAGCAAUCCACAUUAGCCCCCAAGUGCCAAGUGUAUAACUUGUUAUGUGCUUGGGACUUUGAAGAAUAUAUGACCAACCUAUCAUUUUGUCUGUUGCAAGCUGACUUGAACAGUAAGGAUUCCCAAAUUGCUGAUCUUCAAGAAAACAUUAAAUCCCAGCAAGCAGAAACUACCAAGGCCAAGGAGGAACUGAAAGGCACUUUGGCAGCCAUGGAGCAAUUGAAAGAGGGCUUCAAGAAUGAACGAGCAAACUGGGACACCAAGAAGGCUGCUCUGUUAAAACGGGCUGAAGACGCUGAAGCAGCUCUUAAACCGGUGGCAGAAGAGCUAACUGGGCUGAAGCAUGAAGUGAAUGCUAUGACUUCUGCAAUAUUUGGUAAGUACUUUGUAAUAACCUGUCUGAAGCAUCUUCGAAUUUGCCGAUUUAACCUUAAAUUCUUAAACCGUUGCAGGCAGUCGUAUUGCUCAUCUGGGCGCGGAUAUGCGGAUGAAGUUGAAGGCAGCCUAUACGUUGAUUGAGCAAUUGUAUACUGGUGCACAACGAGUCAUCUAUGCGGCUUCGUACAACAAACCGGCACCAAUUCUGAUCAAGGAUACUUUGGUCAGGCUAUCGAUGACACCUGCUCAAAUAGAGGAGGUAAAGCGAUCUGCUGCCAGUGUUGGCGCUUUGUCCGCACUGACGCGGGCCAAAGCGUGGAUCGCGGAUCUUGAUCCAGUAGAUAUUGCAAAGGGCUAUCCUAGUGAAUAGGCAGACGGGUCAGCAUUUGAUAAUGAAGCCCUUAAAGCUCUGACAAAGGAGAUGCGCCCACUGGCAAGCCAAUUGGCUGAAGAAGCUAACUUGUCCACUCAUCGGUCCUUCUAUGAUGCAGAUAACAGACGGGUUGAUGCCGCUGUUAAAGAAGUGCAGAAUCUCAUCCCGCUAAUCCGUAAGCACACAUAUGCCCCUGACGUUGAACCGUCCAAUCUUAUAAGUGAAGAAGCUGUCUUCCAGGCUUUAACCCGGAUUGACUGGACCACCAUUGACUUCUAGCCACUGGGUGGAGAGGAGGAGGUUGAACCGACGCCAGAGGAUCCAUCAACUUCACGUCAACCUAGUGACGAGUCUUAAUCCGGCCAUGGGCUUGAUUUUCACAGACUGUGUUCUGUGUAAAAAGCAAUCAUCAUUCCGGGCCUCAGGGUGCCUUGUAAUAGGCUAGUUGAGAUACUUUGAUCUGUUGCCAUUGUGCACUGCUACAUGAUGCUGUUUGAUCCGCCAUUAUAUCUGUUGUGCUUGCUUAUAUAUCUUGAUAAUGUCAUGCGAUCCUUAUGUCUGCAUAAACAGGAUUGUCCUGGCGGUUUACCGCCGGACAGGUCAUAAUGCCCAAUACAAAGCCUGGUUGAUUACCAAGGCUGAAUAAAUAUCAAAAUAUGAAAUAGAUCAUACCUGUGAUAUUAAAUCACUUAGUUGGUUUACCAACAUUGAUUGUAGUAAGGGUAAGAACCCAAAUCAUGAGUAUUGAUAACUCCCACCAUGCAGUGCUGGUGCAUAUGAUAAGUCAUACCGGGUUGUGAUGAACACCGGAUGAUCAUGCUGGUGACAUGUAGUCAAAGCCAGACCGGGUUAUAAAAACACCGGUUUAAUAAUGAAUAUGGUCUGACAACUUGUAGAUGAAAGCCAAGCCGGGUUAAGAAACACCGGAUUAUUAUGAUGACUGAUAGCCAUACCGGGUUAAAAAACACCGGUUUAACAUGAAAUCCAAAGAAAAACUCUUUGACAAAAAACACAUAAAACCGUGUAGUCGAGACUUUUCAAGAGCUGCCAUGCCCAAAUUCGAGGCUUUUCAUGGGCUGCUAGGCCGCUGAGUUACACCAUUUUACAAAGCCUUUCAAGAUGGGCCUCCAACUAACCAAUCGUCGUUUUAACUUUGACAAGUUCAGGGUUUGUAUAAGAUUGACUUGUCAAACGUUCGGCGGGUCGUGACAGGAUUACCUAGAUAGGAGUGGCUUACUUGAUAAAGGCAGGUUAACCCGGGGUUUUAGGUGAAUACACCAGGCUUCCAAGCCGCGCUUGAUAGCAUAUUACAAGGGUCCUUUCAAACUCUUUGUUGCAUUGCACAAAGAGCCCCCAAGUAACUUUGUGAGCUAUGCUCAAUGAGUGCCUAUGUUUGAGCUGUGCAUAUCAUCCAGGCUCUCUUUGGCCCCUUGGGUGUGAAGCUCCCAAGCUGUAUUGUGGCAUGAUAGCCGGUUUAACAGGCAGAACUCCGCUUUGUCAGCUGAAGCCCCCAUGUAAUCAAAAGAUAUUUGAAGAAAAACGGCAGAGGUCCUGCUUAUAGCAAGGAUGCCGGUUUAUUAUAUCGAUCAUAAUAUAUACAUGGUCAAAAUAUGUACAUAAGAGAAGCCUAUGGCUCAUGUGUAGUAAGGCCGAAGGAGAGCUAUGUUCCAGGGCCGCCGGGUCUCCUCCUCAGAUUUGCGUGAGUCUGCGUGCUCUCGAACAUCAAUGAGGUAGUAUGAUCCGUUGUGCAGAUUCUUGCUGACCACAAAGGGUCCUUCCCAAGGGGGGAUAACUUGUGCAUAUCGGUCUGAUCCUGGAUGAGCCGAAGCACCAAGUCGCCUUCUUGAAAGGUUCUUGUCUUGACUCAGCGGCUGUGAUAACGCCGCAGGUCUUGCUGAUAAACCGCCGAACGAGCCAAAGCCAUGUCCCGUUUUUCAUCUAACAGGUCCAAUGCAUCCUGGCGUGCUUGGUCGUUGUCUGCUUCAACAUAAUUGGCAACCUGGGGCGAGUCAUGACGAAUAUCACUUGGGAGGACCGCCUCUGCCCCGUAAACCAUGAAGAAAGGUGUGUAACCCGUUGAUCUAUUGGGGGUGGUGUUGAUGCUCCAUAACACAGAAGGUAAUUCUUCCACCCAACAACCCGGCGUCCACUUCAAAGGAAUCAUAAGCCGGGGUUUGAUACCCUUUAAGAUUUCCUGAUUUGCUCUCUCGGCUUGUCCGUUGGAUUGGGGGUGUGCUACUGACGACACAUCAAGCCGGAUAUGCUCUCUUUGACAGAAAUCCUCCAUCUCACCUUUAGAAAGGUUUGUGCCAUUAUCCGUGAUGAUGUUGUGUGGAAAACCAAAGCGGAAGAUCACUUUCUUGAUAAACUGAACCGUCGUGGCUGCGUCACACUUGCUUACGGGCUCCGCUUCAACCCAUUUAGUGAAUUUGUCAAUCGCCACCAACAGGUGGGUCUUCUUAUCCUUGGAUUGCUUAAAAGGUCCCACCAUAUCAAGCCCCCAAGUAGCAAACGGCCAAGUGAUUGGAAUCAUCCGUAGCUCUUAAGCCGGAACAUGAGCUCGGCGUGAAAACUUUUGACAAGCGUCACACCGCUUUACCAGAUUCUCAGCAUCAGCAUGAGCUGUCAACCAGUAGAAACCAUGACGAAAAGCUUUAGCCACCAGGGACUUUGAACCGACAUGGUGACCACAAUCCCCUUCAUGGAUCUCACGCAGAAUCUCUUGGCCCUCUUCAGGAGAGACACAACGCUGGAAUACGCCUGAAACACUGCAGUGGUGUUACUCGCCAUUGUGAAUAACCAUGGACUUUGAUCGCCGGACUAUCUGUCUGGCUAGAACUUCAUCUUCUGGUAGCUCGCCCCGGUUCAUAUACGCCAAAUAUGGAACCGUCCAAUCCGGAAUGACAUGUAAAGCGGCUACCAGUUGGGCCUCCGGAUCAGGAACAGCUAAAUCCUCCUCUGUAGGCAUCUUAACAGACGGGUUAUGCAAGAUAUCUAAAAAGGGAUUGGCUGGUACCGGUUUACGCUGAGAUCCCAACCGGCUUAAAGCAUCUGCUGCUUUGUUUUUGCACCGAUCAAUAUGCUCAACCUGAUAACCCUUGAAGUGACCCACCACAAUAUCCAUCUUGCGUCUGUAAGCCGUCAUGAGUGGAUCCUUAGAAUCCCAAGUGCCAGAAACUUGCUGAGCCACCAGAUCAGAGUCUCCAAAACAUCGUACCCGGCUUAAAUUCAUUUCCUUGGCCACGCGGAGACCGUGGAGUAAGGCCUCGUACUCAGCUGUAUUGUUAAUACAAGGAAACAUUAAGCGGAGAACAUAUCGAAUUUUAUCACCUCGAGGGGAAGUAAGGACAACUCCAGCCCCCGAGCCCUCCAAUUGCCUGGAUCCGUCAAAGUGGAUAGUCUAGUAUGUGUUAUCCGGUUUAUCUUCUGGUGCCUGUAACUCGGUCCAAUCAUUGAUGAAGUCAACAAGCGCCUGAGACUUGAUGGCUGUCCGAGGCAUAUAUUUUAACCCGUGUGGACCAAGCUCAAUUGUCCACUUUGCCACCCGGCCAGUUGCCUCCCUGUUCUGAAUUAUAUCGCCCAAAGGAGCUGAACUGACCACUGUAAUGGGAUGGCCUUGAAAGUAUUGCUUAACUUCCGACUCGCCAUAAAAACCCCAUACACCAGCUUCUGCCAAUGCGGAUAUCUUUGCUUUGACUCAAUGAGUACUUCACUGAUAUAGUAAACCGGCCUUUGAACUGGAUAUUCCUUCCCAGCUUCCUUGCGCUCAACCACAAUUGCCACGCUGACAGCACGGACAUUAGCAGCCACAUACAACAAUAAGGGUUCAUUGUCCACCGGAGCAGCAAGGACCGGCGGUUCAACCAACUGCCGCUUCAGGUACUCAAACGCCGCAUCAGCUGCGUCACUCCAAACAAAAGUGUCUGUUUUCUUCAACAUUUGAUACAGAGGAAUUGCCUUCUCUCCCAAACGGCUGAUAAACCGGCUCAAGGCUGCAAUUCGACCCGCCAGACACUGAACAUCAUUGAUACACGCUGGUUUUGCCAAGGAUGUAAUCGCUUUGAUCUUUUCCGGAUUAGCUUCAAUGCCUCUGUUUGACACCAAAAAGCCUAAGAGCUUGCCUGCCGGAACACCAAAAACACACUUGUCCGGAUUGAGCAUCAUCUUAUAAACCCGAAGAUUGUCAAAGGUCUCUUUGAGAUCAUCUAUCAAUGUCUCCUUCCUGGAUUUUACUACAAUGCCAUCCACAUAUGCAUGAACAUUGCGCCCAAUCUGAGUGUGAAGACAAUUCUGCACACAGCGUUGAUAAGUCGCCUGGGAGUGUGCUCAGCGAGUUCCCUCGGUACACCUGGCAUGUCAGAAGGCUUCCAUGCAAAAAUGUCCCUAUCCUCACGGAUGAACUCGAUGAGCGCGCUUUCCUAUUUUGGAUCCAGUGCUGAUACUAAAUUGUUUGGAUGAAUCGCCAGGAACAAAAUCAACAAGUUUAGUCUCAUCAGCCGGUUUGAACUUCAGGGUCGGGUCAUGCUCAGUGGUGGGCUUCUUUAGAGGGGUCAUGUCUGUCGGAUCAACAUUGUCUUUGUAGAACUUCAACUCUUCUGUGGCACAAACCGACUCAGCAUAGGCCGCAUCACCCUCCUCGCAAUCCAAAGCGAUCUUACAACUUCCGUGUACUGUGAUGGUCCCCUUAUGACCCGGCAGUUUGAGCUGUAAAUAAAUAUAGCAGGGCCUCGCCAUGAACUUCGCAUAAACCGGUCGUCCAAACAGGGCGUGAUAUGGGCUUUGGAUUUUCACCGCUUCAAAGGUCAAUGUUUCAGACCUGGAGUCAUGCUCACCACCAAACACAACCUCCAAAACUAUCUUGCCAACAGGAUAUGCCGAUUUACCUGGUACUACACCGUGAAAGACAGUGUUCGACGGUUUAAGAUUCUUGUCUGUCAAUCCCAUGCGACGAAAGGUUUCAUAAUACAGGAUGUUGAUACUGCUCCCUCCAUCCAUGAGUACUUUGGUGAAUUUAUAGCCUCCCACCUGAGGUGCCACCACUAAAGCUAGAUGACCCGGAUUAUCAACCCGGGGCGGAUGAUCCUCCCUGCUCCACACAAUGGGCUACUCGGACCACCGCAAGUAACAGGGUACUGCCGGUUCAACAGCAUUAACUGCCCUCUUGUGAAGCUUCUGAUCGCGCUUACACAAACUAGUAGUAAAAACAUGAUACUGCCCGCCAUUCAACUGCUUUGGGUGACUCUGAAAACCUGAUUGCUGCUGAUUCCCCUGAUUGUUCUGCUAGUUGUUACCACCCUGGUUGCUCUGAUUGCCCUAAUUAUUCUGAAAUCCAGAGUUUGAACCGCCGCCACCGUAACUCGGCCCGUGGAAACCUGGACCUGAACCGUCGGGCGGACCCUGAUCAUACCGGAAGAGAUCAGAGUUUUUGAACUCCUUCAUAAUGAAACAAUCCUUCCAAAGGUGUGUUGCUGGAACCUCCUUUGUCCCGUGCUUUGGGUAGGGCUGGUUUAACAAACGCUCCAGAUUCAUGCCUCCACCACGCUGCGGCGGUUUAACCUUACGACGCUGCGCGUUGCCCUGCACAUUGGUGUUAGCCACAAAAUCUGAAUUAUCCGCUUUACGCUUACCAUUGUUCCCGUGGCUUGUCUGAUUAUUCUGUCCCUUUGAACCGGCAUUCUUCUUUCCCUUCUCCUGCUUCUCUUCGUCAGUAUCGGGAUCUUUGGUAUUAUCCGAGUCAGCAUAUUUAACCAGAGCUGCCAUGAGCGUGCCCAUAUCAUUGCAGUGACGCUUGAGCCGUCCCAACUUCAUCUUCAGUGACUUAAACCGGCAAUUACGCUCCAACGUCACAAUUGCUGUGUCAGCAUUGAUGCGGUCCGAUGAAUGUAGGACUUCUGAAACCCGGCGCACCCAAUUAGUUGUCGACUCGUUUUCUCCUUGAACACAGGCAUCUAGAUCCACAAUGGACAUGGGUUGUUUGCACGUAUCUUUGAAAUUUGCUAUGAACCAGGCCUUCAACUGGCCCCAUGAUCCGGUGAAGUUAGCCGGCAGGCUCUUCAACCAAGUGCGAGCGGUUCCUUCCAACAUCAUGGUGAAAUAUUUUGCACAUGCCGCUUCAUCCAGCUCUAGCAUCUCCAUGGCCAUCUCGUAGCUCUCCACCCAUGCCUCGAGGGGCAAAUCGGCGGUGUAAUUUGGCACCUUCCGCGGGCCCUUGAAAUCCUUGGGUAACCGUACAUUGCACAGAUCUGAGGUAAGACACGGUACUCCCCAUGAAUUGAAAGCAAGCCCGGUACCUCGUUCCACUGACGCCGUUGGUUGAACCGGAGCGGGUUGAUGAUGACCCGCAUACUGUGCCGCUAAUGCGGCCUCCCUCCGAGCUCUGCCAUUAUCCACCACGUGUUGAGCAUUUGCACCACCGCGCGCCGGAUUAGGCCCUUGAGGGGCAUUACGGCGCUGCGCACUGCUCGACACCUCCAGUUCAUCCAUAUGCCUGCUGUAGCUCCUGCUUGGGCGAGGGAUCGAGUGAAUCCUGUCGCGGUUGUAUGAAUAAGCCUGCUGCUGCACCAUAGCAGUCUGAAGAAGAUCCCUGGCCCGCCGCGUCUCAACCGCCGCUAGCGACUCACCCUCCAUCGGAAUAGCUGUCAGCCGGGAUGCUGCAGCUAUCAUGUUGUCCAAAGGAGUAGAGAAGUGACCCGGCGGGGGUGUUAUGUAUUGCGGCGGGUUGUCUGUUCGUCGAGGUGGGCCCAUCACCUGUGGUUGAUCUGGCACUUCGGUCCUUGGCACGGUAGUCCGGUUUACUGCUGCCGGGUUGCUGGUUCCUGCCCCUGGUGUAUUAAAGAGAUUCAUCGCAUUGUAAUCCGCCGGCAAGCGAGACUGAUGUCUCCUCCUCAAUACGUCAUUCGAAGCGUUCUGAUCCAGCAAAAGUCGAUAGUUCUCGGCCUGAAUCCUCUGUGACUGGGCAUCUAAAGCGGCUCAUUCCUCAGCCAUCCUGGUUUACUCAGCCGCCAAGUCCUCCUUGGCUUGAGUUAUUUGAUCACGUAGCUUUGUGACUUCCGCAUUAUGCCGAUCUUGAGUCUCCGGGGUAACUGUUGUGGCCAAUAACGUCGUCCAGGCGUCCAACAAACCGGACAGAACUUGAGCAGGCCGGCGCGCGGGGCCUCCUGCCCCGGCUAGUUGAUCCGGAACCCAAUGCCGCUGCAGUUGAGUUUUGCAAAGCUGGCUGUGUACCGGCCAUGAAGAUUGCGACCUGAUUUGGCGGUUCAAGAAAUUCCGGAAUACUGCUGCCGUCGAAAUACCCUUCGAACAAGCCGUCUUGAACUUGGUACAAGGACUCGGUUUCACCGGUGGAUGACUCGCCAUCGGAAUAAACGGUCGUCUCACCUUCGGACACCGGUUCAGAUCCGAUCCCAUGGACACAUCCUACGAACGCACGCUUCAUGGCGGGCUGAAUCCGGGCAGGACUCGCACGCUGAGCCGUUUCGACGAGGUCGGUGCAGAUGUCCGGCUCAGGGCCCGGUUCGCCGAUCUUGCCGAUGAAGACGUGAAUUCCGCCGAAGGGGACCCGGUACCCGUACUCGAUUGAGCCGGCGUCAGGGCCCCAGCCUGCAUCGUCGAUGUAGAGCUUGCCGCGAUGACUCUUGGUCAUCCGGCGCACUGUGUACCCCUUAAGCCCUUCGAACUUGCCCUCUAAGAACUUGAAACCAUCGUGCGAUAGCCCCACGGUGGGCACCAACUGUCGUGGAAUUAUUACGUCAGAUGCCCUCGUGAAAGGACUUAGUCGUGGAGCCAUCGCGACGGGUUAGCUUAGAGAGGUUAAACCGGACAAAGGACACGAGAGUUUUAUACUAGUUCGGCCCCUUACGAUGAAGGUAAAAGCCUACGUCUAGUUGUGAUGGAAUUACUGGGGUUUCGAUUGCCAGGGAGCAAACACGCUAUGCCUGGCUCUCGAGUUGUUGUUUCUUGUCCCUGAACCGCCGUCGGGUCGUCCCUAUAUAUACACAGAUUGACGCCCGGCCGGUUUACAGAGUCUCGAGACCGGCUCAUACAAGUGUCCGGCUCGGUCUCUCCCUGCCUAACUUACAACACAAGUUUAUACAACUAUGGCGGUUUACCACCAUGGGCCCUAAUCCGUCUUUGGGCUCUGGGCCUCUAAGCUUUAUCAGUAAAGCUCCAUCUUCUUUGUCUUCAUGGGCUUCAGUAUGGUUGAGCGUGAACCGGCCCCUCCUGGGCGGUUUACACUCAGUAGUUAUAUCCCCAACAUAAUUCUUAAACUAAUGAUUUCUGCAAAAAGAUCUAAGUGAUUUGCCCAACAAUUCUUACGAUCAACUACAAUAGGGGAAAAUCCCUACUGAACCUCCAAAAAAAUGAACACACAUAUGGAUUGUUAUUUUUCAUUUUUCAAAUCAUCUGUGGAAAAAAAUGUUUCUCUCAUUCAUGGGGGCAUUCCGAAAACUAAUAAUCUACAAAAGACAAUAAGAAAAUGCACAUUAAAAAAAGAUAUACAAAAAAGAGAGAUAUAAAGACAGCUUGAAACAUAUCUGCUUCAUCAUUGGGAAAAAUAGAAAAAAGGAUUUCAAACAUUCUGUUAAUAAAAACAAAAGUUUACACAAAAAAGAUAAAUUAAAAAGUAGUUUCAGAUUUAAAACUAGCAAAAAUAAAAAGAAAAAAACCAUUUCAACAUUUAAUAGAUUUCAAAAAUGGUUUUAACUUAUAGUUAAACUAAUAAAACAAAAGUAAAACAAUUUCAAAAUUAACAGUUUCACUAAUGCAAAAAAUUCCAACGAAAGUGCUUGCACCUUUUACUUAAAAACUAAACAUGCAAAAAGAAAAACUGAAAAAACAGUGAGAAAUGGAUACAUACCAUGCUUCCCAAAAGAACAUGAGUCCUCAUGAGGCGGUGC
rnacentral:lncRNA from 1 species